AUUUGUGAUGCAAAUUUUAGCAUCUGAUCAAUCUGCUUGAAGGUCUUGAAAUAGAUUUCAUCUAUCUCAUCUGCAAGGAGCACGGGAUGGUGACCGAGGACUAAGUUGGCGACCAAGAAGGUUGUGAAAUGGCGAGUAGAGGAGUGGCAGGGGAUAGGUGUAGGGGUACAAAUGGUGGAGUGAGUACCACACAUACCUUCAUAGCUAUGAUACCGAAAGAGAGUAUGUCAAUUACUCUGAGGAACUAUCCAAGCAACUCAAUGUAUGCACCACAUGUCAUGUUAUGAAAAUAUUUUUAUUUUGUACAAUGCUUUGAAUUUCCUUUGGACUAGCUACUUCAUUUCUCUAGCAAAAGUGGAUGGAGCCUUAUAUAGAUACUCAUUGGUCAUCUGCCAAGGCUAGAUUUGUGAUGCUGUAGAAGUGGCUGGGAAGGACGUGCUGUUAACAUCAUUGACCGUGGAGACCGGUCUUUGUGUCUCACAAGUACUAAGCGAAAGAUGCUGCUGCCACGAAUGAAGGGCUCGAUGAUGCCGGCUCUGUGAUGGGGUUGGCAUGGGCUGUGUUCCAAGAUCUGGCACGCCAUCUACCUGAAGAGCAUCCUGAAGUCCACAGGGCUCCCCAUGUCCACCAUCAAGGCGGCGGCCGCUGACUCCUCAUCGUAGAGCAACAAGAGCAAUUAGAGUUUCAAGCUGCCUUAUUCUCAACCACUGGCAAAUAGAAGCCUGCAUUCUCAGUCCCUGCUUGUAGAUAUCUGUGAUGAAAACAAAGAGCAACCUUAGUGUCAUGUCCUAUUCCAGUAUUCCUCUGCUGUUGAAAACGUUUUUGUGCUGGAAACCAUACAUCAUUGUUUGGUUUGGUUA